rnacentral:rRNA from 1 species
GAUGAACGCUGGCGGCGUGCUUAACACAUGCAAGUCGAACGGAAAGGCCCAAGCUUGCUUGGGUACUCGAGUGGCGAACGGGUGAGUAACACGUGGGUGAUCUGCCCUGCACUUCGGGAUGAGCCUGGGAAACUGGGUCUAAUACCGGAUAGGACGAUGGUUUGGAUGCCAUUGUGGAAAGUUUUUUCGGUGUGGGAUGAGCUCGCGGCCUAUCAGCUUGUUGGUGGGGUAAUGGCCUACCAAGGCGUCGACGGGUAGCCGGCCUGAGAGGGUGUACGGCCACAUUGGGACUGAGAUACGGCCCAGACUCCUACGGGAGGCAGCAGUGGGGAAUAUUGCACAAUGGGCGCAAGCCUGAUGCAGCGACGCCGCGUGGGGGAUGACGGCCUUCGGGUUGUAAACUCCUUUCGCUAGGGACGAAGCGUUUUUGUGACGGUACCUGGAGAAGAAGCACCGGCUAACUACGUG